UACGGGGGGGGCAAGCGUUGUUCGGAAUUACUGGGCGUAAAGGGCUCGUAGGCGGCCAACUAAGUCAGACGUGAAAUCCCUCGGCUUAACCGGGGAACUGCGUCUGAUACUGGAUGGCUUGAGAUUGGGAGAGGGAUGCGGAAUUCCAGGUGUAGCGGUGAAAUGCGCAGAUAUCGGGAGGAACACCGGUGGCGAAGGCGGUUCUCUGGGCCUGUACUGACGCUGAGGAGCGAAAGCGUGGGGAGCGAACAGG
rnacentral:rRNA from 1 species